rnacentral:lncRNA from 1 species
AGUUGUACUAUUGAGACCAUACCACCAUAUCUUCUUUUAGUUUCUUUGGUAAUUUAAAGGUCUAAAAGGACGGUACAUGUGAGAAGCUGUGAGUCCACAACAAAAAACUAAACUAACUUCCAAAAAAACAUUUCAAGUUUGGAAGCCACAAAGAAGCAACCCAGAUCUCUCGUUGUAGUGCAGGCUCAAGAAAAUGGGUCGAAUGACCAUCAUAGCAACAUGUAGAAGCAGAAAAAAUAUAGGCUUGGUGUGUAACUGAUCAUGAAAGAUAGCUUGAUCAGUUUCUCCAAUGUUGGCUUAUGCUGAGCAAGUACAUCAAUCUGCAGAGAAGAAAAAUGGAGGACUGCUUUAUUCUGUGGUACAUCCACAAUAGUAUAGCAAAUAAAGUAGUUAAAUGUACGCUAAGAUGUAAGACCUUUUAGAUUACUAUUUUAGUGAUCUAAAAAGUAAGGAGUGAUCUAAAAGCUCUUGUAUUAGUUUGAAGAGGGAGUACUUAAUAAGACUGUAAGCCAGCACAUCAAAGUAAUGCCGGCUUCCCAUUGAUUUGAGCAAACCAAUAUGACAGAGGGAAGGUGAAACUUCAGAAGACCAUAUAAAUUGACCGUGAUGUCUUAAUUUAAAACUUUGAAAUGAAGUAGUAAACAUUAAGUCUCAAUGUUAUCACUAAAAAAGCAUAAAAAAAGACAGACCAGCCAGCAGUGCAUCAUAAUUAGCGGUUCAUCAUGGGCAAACCAGGCAGUAGUAGCCUAAUAACUUAGACGAAAAAAAUGCAAGAAGUCAAAGCACAAGGUGGGAAAUAGGACCAAGCAUUGACACCGAGCAUUGACAGAUAACCAAAUAAUGAAGGAAUAUCCCCAAAUGAUGCAAGAGGUGAGAGAGGAGCACCUAGGCCUAGCAGAGGUUUGUGGACUACCUCUUUAUGCCACACCAUAUCCACAUCCCUAGCGCUUAACGUACUCGCUGCUAUUGCCGUCUCUACCUUAUUUCCUCCAUUGCCGGUUCGUGGACUACCUCUUCAGGACACGCCGAAUACAUAUCCUCUCCUUCACCAGCUGGUAGUUUCGCCCUUCAAUUAUGCCACUAACAAAUAAAAAGAGAACACUAUGAUCAAGUUGAUAAGGCUUACGACCGUAUGUGAGGAAAGCAAAUAAUUCAUGCUUGUCAACACCAUAGUGUACAAUUUUAGCAGAAAGCACAUCAUCGUUCUAGAAGAAAAUAGGUGGAAGCAUAAGAAAGCAAUUAAACAAUCUCUCCAGAGGCACUCACAUGGUAAAAUCCAAAACAUCGAAAGCAAUAUAUUAUUUUUGCGAAAUGUACAGGAUUCAAGAAACUGAGUACCAUCAAAAGUAGUCUGCUAUCCAUAUCCAGAACUCUAAUUCUUACAUACUAGCUAAAAGUUUUAUUGGUUGAGACCAUUUUUGGAUCACCCACCAGCAAGUAUGCAUGGUUCAUAUGUGAAGAGAAACUAACAAUUACAACCAAUAACCAAUUAGCCAACACAUGAAAAACUAUCCUAAACCACUAUGACUACUAAUUCACCAAUACCAUAGAUGAUAGCACCGUGCUAUUAUAAGUUUCUUCAUGAUUCACCAUAUAAAAAGAUUAUACCUCUUCUACAUAGCAGCACAAGACGUUUAAGCAAGGAAGGAAAAGAGUAAGUUUAAUUUCUUUUCACCUAUUUCUUAUCAAUGGAGAUGGAAAAUGCUCUAGUCUAUUUUUAAUGUUUUAUCUUGUCCACCUAUUUGUAGAUAGGCCUUUUUGUAACAUGACAACCUGAAAUUUAUUAAGAGACAUGAAACUUUUAUUAUCUGAUCGAAAGAACAAAAGUUAGUAAAUAUUUGCUACAAGUACCUAACAGGAACAAGUGCAGCCUCAGUCUUUUUUAGAAGGCUAGUACAUAUUACAAACCAGGAAACAAUGGUUGAAAUAUGUGCUAUGAUGCAGUUUCGAAACACGGUUUCAUGGUUGGCCAUGAUAAGUGUCAAAUGUUUUCUCCUUUUUAUUCGGGGUCCAUUAGGGUCAUAGCUGAUGGUACCUUAUAAACAGAAUUUUUAGAACAGAUUGCAGCUUGUAUAAGAUAGACAGGUUUAGUAAGUAUCAUAUUUAAUCGAAAAGCAAAAUAAUCGUUUAAGUAUUUACAUGUCUAGAUCCAAGGUUUGAGAAAUCAAUAAAGUGCCCUCCCCAGAAAUCACAGUGAAAGCAAGUAAAUAACCCAAGCUUGGUGUGGCACCACAAUAAAGAGGAUCAUAAAGGAAAAAAAAUAGAGGAUCAUACAGAAUAAUCAGGAAUCUGUACACACAGCUUACUACAGAUUACUCAUGCUUCAGAAUCAAUCAACAUGCUUGAUGCCGCACCACAAUAAGUAGCACAUGGAUAUUCUAACUCACAGGACAACCUAUAUAAUGUCGUCUUGCCUUGCAUUUGCACCUCUCAUUGCAUCGACCACCAAGGUAACAUAAAAAAGCAUGCCAACCAAGAUAAACCAAAUCAUGGACUUGGACAGGAAAAUCAAAGAGAGGGAAAACCUGUGGAUGGGUUAGAUAGCAAGUCACCGGCGAGGGCGCCUAGGUCUGGCCGACAACACCCGGCCCCACACAUAGUUCAGAAGCAGUCUACCACAUAAUCAGAUGGCAUGAAAGUACCAAUAGUGACCAACCAAACCAAAUAAACCACAUGAAUGGUUGUGAAUGAAGGCAGAAUCAUAUGCAUCUCACAACUAACAAAUUUAACUGAUAAUUCAAGAUACUAAAGAUCUGCUCUGCAUUUUCAACAGUGAGAAUAGUAAAGAUCUCGAAUGCAAUAAAAAAACAAGGAAGCAAACAAGUUGCACAUGAUUUAAUUGACGUCGCGUAACUUCUAAAGUUUUCCCCUUAUAUGACAACCUUCUUCCCAGCAAGAGUCAUUACAGUAUUUAGAUAUCUUGUAUAAAAAAGAUCAAGAACUGAAAACUACAUUCGGCAAGACAUCCUCUCUACAAAAGGAAAUUCCCAGAUAAAACAUUAGCCGAUUCAGUGCAUAUCUCCAAGGCUCAUGUAAGGAAAUUGUCAAAAAGGAGUAAACUGAUUGGAAGGAGCUGCAAUACCCAAGGAUCGGUUGGAGACGGCGAGGUCAACAAGGACGCCUAUCCAAGCAUGUUUCUUCUGUCAUAAGCUUUAUUUUACUUCAUCAUGAAGUUAUGAAAAAAGCCAUCUUAGUAUGAGCUUUCGAGCUUUAAACCAACCAUUUUCAUGAAUAAAUUAGUUGCUUCAGUUCUAUUGGGCUGUAUCAUAUAACAAAAAACAGAACAAAAAAAAGUUUCUUUACCAAUGUUGUAAUUGUCUUGAGUAAAUGGAAGUUAAGAUGAAUGAGAAUCCUUGAAGCAAACACAAAUUAAAAAAUCUGCCACCGCAAUCCUCAAUGUCCGCUGUUCCUCUCUCUAUGGUCAGGCAUUAAAACCAAAACAGCCUAACCAGCCCACAUUAAAGCAAAAAAUGGAAAACACGACAUCCUCUAUUGUAGAAUUAAGAAAAAUAUGCUCUCCGGGGAUAGAUUGGUUCACCUUGAGGUACAGAAUAAUUUGAACUCCUACAAAACAUUACAUUGUUUGCUUCAGUAUAUGACCCGUUCAAUCUGAAAAGAAUUCAAAAUUUUCAUCCAAAUUCUUGCAAUUCUUCCUACUGUGUUGAGCUUGUAAUAGUGAUAUUAGUAUAAGUAUUUUAUUCUCUUUCUCUAGCUAGAAAUCUCCAAUCUGAAGUUUCAAGACACUGAUCAAAGUAUAUUAUGGAAGAAAAGAAGCUCAUUCCACUAUGAAUAUAAUUAUUUGGCUCACACUUGUGAAUCAAGAAAGGAAGGAAGCGAACCUGAUGGUGUUGGUGUAUUGCGGCUCAAGCCAGUGUGCUCACUUGCCGCUGCGUGUUGUUGGCUUCGCGCCACAAGACUCACCAUGUCCUGACCAAUGCAACACACAUAAGAUCACCGUCAUAACCCAAGAGAAGUAGGGAAGUAUGUAACUAAUAAAAAAUAGAUGUAGCAAGUGCAAGGUAGGCUUAGUGGUGCUUAGAACUUACUUCAAUUUUAUUCCAAAGGAUGUACACCGGUCAUCUUCCUCGCUGGUCCCCGACAUUGCCACAUGCCACCCUUCGAGAAGACAGUAGAGGGAUGAUUCUUCAACUGAAGACGAAGAAAUGAAGGAAGAGCAAAAAUUUACCUGAGCAUUGGACCGGCGCCAUUCAUGGAUGGAGCUUGGAGGAACCCUCUUCUCCACUUCUCUCGAUCCACUGCCUCUAUUACUGCCUUGCACCAUGCAUCCGAGC